UACAGAGGGGGCAAGCGUUAUUCGGAAUUAUUGGGCGUAAAGGGCGCGUAGGCGGCCUGACAAGUGGAAGGUGAAAUCCCUCGGCUUAACCGAGGAACUGCCUUCCAAACUGUUUGGCUUGAGUCCGGGAGAGGCGAGUGGAAUUCCCAGUGUAGCGGUGAAAUGCGUAGAUAUUGGGAGGAACACCAGUGGCGAAGGCGGCUCGCUGGACCGGAACUGACGCUGAGGCGCGAAAGCGUGGGGAGCAAACGGG
rnacentral:rRNA from 1 species